rnacentral:rRNA from 1 species
CCUAGUAACGGCGAGUGAAGCGGCAACAGCUCAAAUUUGAAAGCUAGCCUUCGGGUUCGCAUUGUAAUUUGUAGAGGAUGAUUUGGGGAAGCCGCCUGUCUAAGUUCCUUGGAACAGGACGUCAUAGAGGGUGAGAAUCCCGUAUGUGACAGGAAAUGGCACCCUAUGUAAAUCUCCUUCGACGAGUCGAGUUGUUUGGGAAUGCAGCUCUAAAUGGGAGGUAAAUUUCUUCUAAAGCUAAAUAUUGGCGAGAGACCGAUAGCGCACAAGUAGAGUGAUCGAAAGAUGAAAAGCACUUUGGAAAGAGAGUUAAAAAGCACGUGAAAUUGUUGAAAGGGAAGCGCUUGCAAUCAGACUUGUUUAAACUGUUCGGCCGGUCUUCUGACCGGUUUACUCAGUUUGGACAGGCCAGCAUCAGUUUCGGCGGCCGGAUAAAGGCUCUGGGAAUGUGGCCUCCACUUCGGUGGAGGUGUUAUAGCCCAGGGUGUAAUACGGCCAGCCGGGACUGAGGUCCGCGCUUCGGCUAGGAUGCUGG